rnacentral:snRNA from 1 species
GUGCUCUCCUUAGCAGCACAUAUACUAAAAUUGGAACAAUACAGAGAUUAACAUGGCCCCUGCGCAAGGAUGACUCUCAAAUUCGUGAAGCGUUUUAUAAUAAA